CCUGCCCUGUGACAAUGUUUAACGGCCGCGGUAUUUUGACCGUGCGAAGGUAGCGUAAUCACUUGUCUUUUAAAUGAAGACCUGUAUGAAAGGCAUCACGAGAGUUUAACUGUCUCUAUUUUCUAAUCAAUGAAAUUGAUCUUCUCGUGCAGAAGCGAGAAUAUUACCAUAAGACGAGAAGACCCUAUGGAGCUUCAAACACUUAAAUUAAUUAUGUAAAAUUAUAAUCCUGAGGGGAAAAAAUCAUUCAUAUAAUAUUCCUAAUUUAACUGUUUUUGGUUGGGGUGACCGAGGGGGAAAGGAAAUCCCCCUUAUCGACUGAGUACUGAGUACUUAAAAAUUAGAACGACAGUUCUGAUUAAUAAAACAUUUACCGAAAAAUGACCCAGAUUUUUUUCUGAUCAAUGAACCAAGUUACCCUAGGGAUAACAGCGCAAUCCUUUCCCAGAGUCCCUAUCGCCGAAAGGGUUUACGACCUCGAUGUUGGAUCAGGACAUCCUAAU
rnacentral:rRNA from 1 species